GGACUGAAGGAUUAACAUAGUUCUACAAGUUGCCAUGCUGUUACUUCUGUAACUGAUGCCUUCUUGCACGAGAGAAAUGGAGGUGGACAUGGGCAUUCAGUUAGGAAGAUCAUUCUGCUGCCUUCUCUAAGAUCUGACAAGAAGCUUCAGCAUUCAGGUCUAGUAAAAAAUUCUACUCAAGCAUGUAUGAUUCUCUGAAUCUCUUAACUUGUGUUGUCCAUUGUCAAACUAGAAGUAAGAUUCAUGUUUUCUGUUGCAGUAUGUAAAUUCUGCUUCUUGAUGUGAAAGAUAUUUGCUGUCACAGUAUUUUAGAGAUAUGCAUAAUGUGGAUAACCCUUUUUUUAGUGUAAGUUAAUAUUCUUAAAAAAUUUAUUUCAGCCUAAGUAUUACAUGACAGCUCUGUAUAAAAUACUUGAGUUCAAACCCAUGUGCAGCACUACUUAGUUGAAGUACAGUGAACAUCAUUUCACCCUCAGAAAACAAUGGAUUGCCUAGGCCAGCAUGCUCCCAAAACUUCAUUAUUCUGUGAAAGCUUGGGAGUUUUUUUACUGAUUUAAGCAUUAUUUAUUCUUUUGAUACUUUGUCCUGAUAACUCUUCUUUUUCAUGAUCAUGCAAAUAAAGAAAGGCUGAACUA